CGCAAGCCCCGUCCGAGGCCGCAGAGUCGGUGCCGUCUCCGGAGCUGCGCACACAGCGCACUGGGCCGAUCCGCCCUCCGGGACCGAGCCCUUGGCCCGGGGACCGUGCAGGCCCGGGGCCCUGGAGGCCGAGGAUCCAGGAGAGUUCACCUAGAAGGUGAAGUGCGGACCCGCCUCGGGAGCCGCGACCCGAGGGAAGGGACCCGCGGCUUCUGGCGCGCAGCAUCCGACUCGAAAUCCGCCUCCAGGGCGCCCCUGGCAGGCGCCUCGCUGUACCGGCCUAGCAGGGCCGCAGCCGGGGACGCCGCCCGGGCUGGGGUGGGGUCGGUUCCUCCGCGCUUUGGGGCUGCGCUCCGGUCCGGCCCCUGCCCAGCAUCGCCGAGUUCGUUUUCUAAAAAGGAGUUUUGGAAGCUCGGAUGGUCCCAUUUUGAAGCAAGGAAAGAGAGUCAAUCAGAGUUUCUUCGUAAGCCUGUCUUAAAUAGCAGCACGUUUCUACUGGAGACUUACCCGGCCAUGAGGACGCGCUCCCCACCCGGCCCGACCCGGAGCCCGCGCUCUCCAGCUUCGCCGCCUCCUCGCGCGGCGGCGGCGCAACGCCCUGCCCGACAUCCUGGGCGCGGACGCCAGCGCCUGCGAGGAGCUGCCGCCGCCGCGGAGCCUCUCGGUGAAGGAAGAUGUGCAACAGAAGAGCGAAGCAGCAGCACGAGACCGGUUGGGAAAUCCCAGAGAGGAAGAGAAAUGAAGCCGCCUCGUUUGUCAGAGGCGCACUCAGGCGCGUGGAGAGGCGGAGGGGCUGUGUUUCCCAUGAUGUGUGGCGUGGCGGUAACCAUGGAAACGUGCGUGACUCCCGUGACUCGCCGUGACUGUUCACUUGGACCGCAAGUAUGAUGUCGAAAGUAGGCCAUUAAAAGGCAAAGUACGCCCCACUGCAUCCAAGAAAAAUGUUAAGAAUGCAGGAUCACUAAUACAUAGUAUUGUCUGUAAGCCCCGCAAAAUCUGCUGUUCUCUUUUGGAUUUAUUUAGCCAGCUGUGUGUUUAAUUCCACUUUUAGGGUGAUUUUUGUGUUUCUUGUCAAGUAUACAUUCAUUUAAACUUUGUAGAAUUUGUAGGAAAUAUAUUUUUGAUGAAAAGGAGGAAUAAUAAUAGAAUAGUCAGAAUUACAUGGGUACAGUGUCUUUAUUUUUAAUCAGUAUUGCGCCAGAGUUUUUCCAAACCACAAAAAAGAUUUUAAAAUAUUGUAAAAGUUUAACAACAUAAACAUCUCUGGGAUAUUUUUGUCUGAUAUAUUUUGCUUCUAAUCUGUGUAUACUGUGAUUUUUGAUGUGGACCCUUGGAAUGUAACCUUUGUGACAAACUAUUUCUGUGGAACAUGCCUUUCAAACGGAUUUCACGACCUCCCUUCACUGUGUGUGCGCAUGUGUCUUAUUGUAAUGUGAAAUAUACAAAACAAUUUUUAAUUGCUUCACAUUGCUUUUUCUCAUGUUUUGUAUAUGUACGAGGUAUAUCUAAAGUGAUAUCCUCAGGAAUACAUACCUUAAUUUUUAUAUCUUUCCUAGAGUAGCUAACAUAGCAGUAAACACUUUAAAAUUUGGUCAAUAAUGUAGGCCCAAGGAGAAAAAUACACACUUUUAAUAUAUGUUUAAGUAUAUAUUUUGAAAGGAACAAAAAUAAACCAAGGCUUUAGAGAAUUUGGGUUUAUUAGAAAUUUUAGAAAAAUACUAGAAUUCUGAAUUUUAAAAAAUUUGAAUAAUUAAUGUAUUUUCACUUUCACACAUAUGUGCAUGUGGUUUUAAAAAAUUUGAUUGUUGGCUUAGGCCACAUCUGUAUACACUGACCAAAUAAACUCUUUCACUAGAGAAAUUGUUUACUGUUACAGAUCUUCAUUUUAUCUUCUGAAGUAUGCCAGGUGAAAAACGGUGACCGUUUUAAAAGGAUGGCAUUAAUAGUCUGCAAUCUAAAUCACCUCCGGCUCAUUAUUUUAUUGACAAAGACUCCCCUUAUAUCUUAUACAUCCCAGAGGAACAGAUUUCAAAUAACUUGAUUGUUUUAAGUUCUCAAAUAUAAAUUUUCCUGUGUGAAAUAAAAGUAUUUUGGCCUAGCAUUACCUUAACAUCCAAC
ensembl:lncRNA